AACGCCCUUUUGCCCUUUCUUCUUAUCCCUUGUGCGGACGUGAGCGUAUCCAGCGCAGCAGCAACCACGACCGUCGUGUAAGAUACGCCAUCUCACUUGAAAGCCUUGCGUAAAGAUGCUAUGCGCAUCUGACCUCAACGGUGUCGUGAGCAGCGCCGUCGGCGACGGCGUUCUCAUGGUGCUGUUGCUGGAUGCCUCCGGCAAUGCCAUUGCGACCGCUUUUGCCGGCUCCGCUGCGCAGAAGGAUAUGAUGUACGCGUCAGUGGUCGCAGCCACGGCGAACAUGUGGCGCGCAUACGCUCGCAGCGACCUUGCAGUGAACAAGUUCAACCUGGAGCUGGAGACCGAAUCGCUCGAGCAGAUGAUGGUGAUCUUCCCGGACAAGAAGAUCUGCGCCAUGUCUGUGGCGGACACGGCAGUUGUGUCGCUCGUGUCGGUGGACAACUCUGUAACCGAGGGCUUUCUCAAGCUCAAGACGGCUUCGCUCCAGCGUAAGCUAGACCGGCUUCUGCGGCCUGUUAUGACCGUGUAGAAACGGAAAAAAGAGGUAGCUGCGGCAGACACCCAGCAAGCAAGCUGCCGUGUCUGCGUGCACUCCUUUUGUCUUGGCUGAGUAUCUCUGUCAUGCUGAUGAGGAGACACGUCAAGGACCUCUGAACCCUGCUUCUUCGUCUUCUCUUCUGCAUUAUACAUACCUUUCCUUGGGCGGUGGAUGCAUGGGUGCGCAUGUGCGUUCGAUGUCCGUUGUGGCAUUGUCUGCCUCGUGACGGCGUCCGUCGCCUCUUUUCUCUUUCUCGACCUUCUACCGUGUGUGUGUAUGUGCU
rnacentral:misc_RNA from 1 species